rnacentral:rRNA from 1 species
UACGAAGGGGGCUAGCGUUGCUCGGAAUUACUGGGCGUAAAGCGCACGUAGGCGGCUCUUUAAGUCGGGGGUGAAAUCCUGGAGCUCAACUCCAGAACUGCCUUCGAUACUGGCGAUCUAGAGUCCGGGAGAGGUGAGUGGAACUGCGAGUGUAGAGGUGAAAUUCGUAGAUAUUCGCAAGAACACCAGUGGCGAAGGCGGCUCACUGGCCCGGUACUGACGCUGAGGUGCGAAAGCGUGGGGAGCAAACAGG